rnacentral:lncRNA from 1 species
UCCGGUUUGUCCUGUAUGCAACUGACUUUUCGGGCCCACAACUUUCAGCCGACUAAGCCCUGUCCAAUCCUCAUUAAAUGCAAUGCAGAGAUGACAGUCAAAGUUCUAUCCCCAAUCUACACCGGUCAAAGCCCAAGUGGAACCAUACUCAUCUAGUAAUUCGGCCCACUGCAUCCGGACCAAUAGGGCAAGAAUAAUCAUAACCCCAGGGAGGAGCCCAUUAA